GAUGAACGCUGGCGGCGUGCCUAAUACAUGCAAGUCGAGCGGUAAGGCCCUUCGGGGUACACGAGCGGCGGACGGCUGAGUAACACGUAGGAACGUACCCCAAACUGAGGGAUAAGCACCAGAAAUGGUGUCUAAUACCGCAUGUGGCCCACGGGCUAAAGCUCCGGCGGUUUGGGAACGGCCUGCGUCCGAUUAGCUAGUUGGUAGUGUAAUAGACUACCAAGGCGACGAUCGGUAGCUGGUCUGAGAGGAUGAUCAGCCAGACUGGGACCGAGACACGGCCCAGACUCCUACGGGAGGCAGCAGUAGGGAAUUUUCCACAAUGGGGGCAACCCUGAUGGAGCAACGCCGCGUGCAGGAUGAAGGCCUUCGGGUUGUAAACUGCUUUUAUCUGUGACGAUUAUGACGGUAGCAGAUGAAUAAGGACCUGCUAACUACGUGCCAGCAGCCGCUGUAA
rnacentral:rRNA from 1 species